rnacentral:rRNA from 1 species
UACGUAGGGCGCAAGCGUUGUCCGGAAUUAUUGGGCGUAAAGAGCUCGUAGGCGGCUUGUCACGUCGGGUGUGAAAGCCCGGGGCUUAACCCCGGGUCUGCAUUCGAUACGGGCUGGCUAGAGUGUGGUAGGGGAGAUCGGAAUUCCUGGUGUAGCGGUGAAAUGCGCAAAUAUCAGGAGGAACACCGGUGGCGAAGGCGGAUCUCUGGGCCAUUACUGACGCUGAGGCGCGAAAGCCAGGGGAGCGAACGGG